rnacentral:tRNA from 1 species
CAGAGAGUAGUUUAAUUAAAAUAUUAAUUUUGGAGAUUAAUGAUGGGUCGUUGGAUCUCUCUCUGA